AGAACUCCCGCAGCGCGGGCUCACCCCGCCCAGUUGCCAUUAGUUACCCGGACGCGCCUUCUAUCCUAUAUCCACGUAAAAUGCUCCCUGCUGUCACUUUUGGGACACUCCCCUCACCCACUGCCCCCAGAGGCCGACACAGUUUCGCAACAGCCUUCUCAAGACUUCCUCAGAGCCCCUUAAUUGCGGGACCCGUCAAGGCUUGGGGGCCCCAGGUCCUCCCCAAGAGCCAACUCUCGGCUCACUCCAUCCUAUUCUUGGGAGCUGAGCAGCGGCACAUUCCUCACCGUUGUCUCCCCGCCUGAAGGAGGAGGAUAAAAGCGAAACAGAAAGAAUUGGCCAAUCUCAUGCCCCAGACUAGGAUCUGAAUCUUAGAGUCAACCAAGGCCUAAUCUGCUUUCCUGCUUGGCAUCCUCAGCUUUCUGCUCAGCCCUUCCCAGCCAAAGAAGGGGCAGAGAUCGCCACUGAUGGGAAUGUUCAAGAGAAUAUCUCAAAGAAUUCUAUGGAGACCUGGGUUUGAUCCUGCAUCCCGGAAGAUUCCCACAUGCUGCAGAGCAACUAAGCCCAUGUGCCCCAACUACUAAGUCUGCGCUCUAGCGCAUGGGAGCUGCAACUACUGAGCCCAAGGGCUGCAACCACUGAAGCCUGAGAGCCCCCGAGCCCGUGCUCUGUGACAAGAGAGACCACCACAGUGAGAAGGCUGUAUAGCACCACUCGAGAGUAGCCCCUAAUCUCCGCGACUAGGGAAAAGCCCGAGCAGCAGUGAAGACCAGUACAACCCAGAAUGAAUAAAUAAAAGAUCCGCUUGCCAAUGCAGGGGACACAGGUUUGAUCCCUAUGCUUCGAGGCAACUAAGCCCAGGCUCCACAACCACUGAGUCUGUGUUCUAGAGCCUGCAAGCCUCAACUACUGAAGCCUGCACACCUAGAGUCCAUGCUCUGGAACAAGAGAAGCCACCUCAAUGAGAAGCCCUCGAACCACAACUAGAGAAAGCCC
ensembl:lncRNA